AGUGCCGAGAAUAUUUCUCUGCCUGUUUUUAAGGGUUCUUACCCCCCUGAACAACACUGUUUUAACUUCAAACCUUGGAAAAAAUUACCAACAGUCCGACAAGAACUAGAAAAUACAGUGGUGUGAAUUAGGUGAUAGACUACUAUGUAAGAUUGUCACAAGGUGAAAAAUUUAGAGGUUUUGGGCUUCUCUUUGUAGUAAAUAGAUAAGAGUAAAAAAUAUCAAAAUGGAGGAUUGUUGUUGUUCUCUAAACCUUCUUCUCCUUCUUCUAAUACUCCAUAUUCUUCAGUAAAAGUAGUUUGGAUUGACUGGAUAGAGAAUUCCGCAGUUCCUAGUCGUGUUACUGAAUAAUUGGUAAGAAAGUGAAAAUAAUAUACGUUUUUAGUAACUAUUGGUUAAAAUGUCUUUAAAAGGCUGUGUAAAUCUUGAUAAUUGCUCUCUCUCGCUCUCACUCCUACUUUGCCUCCUUCCAUGCUGUACCUGGGUCACGCUAGUGGCUCAGUUCCUCUGAUAAGACUUAAUAAACAACUAUCUAGAAGCAUUGAAACUACAGAAGACGUCUCGCUUUAUCUUUUAAACUCCUUGUAAGGACUUUCAGCAAAUUCUCUCCCAUCAGGAGAGAUUUGAUUUAUGGCAUGGUAAAGUGUCACUGAGGUUGUGCCAUGUUUGACAGGACAAGAGGAAACAGCCUCAAGCUGCGCUAGAGGAGUUCAGGUUGGACAUCAGGAGCAAUUUCUUCUGUGGAAGCAUUGAGAAACAUUGGAAGGGAGGUGGUGGAGUCCCCAACCCUGGAGGUGUCCAAGGAACAUGUGGACGUGGCACUCGGUGCUGUGGUCUGGUUGACACAGUGGGGAUCAAUCACAGGUUGGACUCAAUGACCUUGGAAUUCUUUUCCAACCUCAGUGGUCCUGUGAUUCUGUGUUUGAGGCUAUUCUCAGCUCUGGGCUGGUGAAGGAGGAAACCUGCAUGAAGGGAUGCUGCAAUGGUGGAGGUAAGGAGUUAUUUAUUGUUCAAGCAGGUGCUCAAAGUAUGCAGAUAAAGCAGCUCAUUGUAUGUGUUCCAAACACCAGCUUGGCUGGACCAGGGGGAAGGAGCUGAGUAUUAUA
rnacentral:lncRNA from 13 species